GCCUGAUAGGGAAAGAGUCGCGUUGCUGGUCCGCAGUCAUUAGCUGGUUUCUCAGGCGCCCAUCUCCCUGGCAACUGACUGGCUGAGGACAGGGGAGGGCGGGGCCUUUGGUGUGGAAAAAGCACAGACUCCUUACCUAUUGCGGGCCGAGAGCUCCGAGGAGCAACGUGUCCCCUACCCUCCACCUCCGCCCGGCUAAGACGGCUCUUCCACCAGGACCCUGAGCCAUGGGAAACUCAGAAGGAAAUGCAUUCGGGGUCCUCGCGGGCGUUCUGCUCUCGGCAGCACACUAGCACACCAGUUUUCAAGGCGGCCGUCUCUUCUGAACAUCCUCGUGUCAUCUGACUCAGUGGAUCGCUGCACACCCCAAGGCAUCAGGCACACAGCCCGAGAAACCGAAAUGACAGUCAACAACGCCCAUCGUGCAAGUGAGUCAGCACACCAAGGUCCCUCGAAAUCUAACAAGUCUUUGCAAACAGUCAUUCGUCUUCAUUAAGGUGUUCUCCGAGAAAGGCCACUUCACAGGUGAGAGCCCGCUCAGCCCCUCACACUGAGCCACACAGAGAAAUCCCAUGGCUGGCUGAGUGACAUUCGUUGUGCAGACAAGAUGGAGGUGGUAGUCUGUCUUUCUGGCCUCUUUGAUAAAUAACCAGUUAGCCAGGUGUGGUAGAGCACAUCUGUAUUUCAGCAUUUGUGAGACAGAGCCAGUACAACCAGUGGGUAGUGUCAUCCUUGAUGUUCCAGGCCAACUUCGGGUAUCUGAGAUACUGUCUAAAUAUAAAAAAAUAAUAAAAUAUGUUUUUUUGA